AGGUGAUCACUUAGGCAGCAGUAUACUAAAAUUGGAACCAUACAGAGAAGAUUAGCAUGGCCCUGCGCAAGGAUGACUCACAAAUUCGUGAAGCGUUCCAUAUUUUA
rnacentral:snRNA from 1 species